GAAUCACACGUAGCACAAGGAGUUGACAUCAACAGUACUGAACUGAGAACAGGGAACACUAUUUAUCCACAUGACAAGACGAGGGGAUGACGAGACACACCUGGGAUCAAUAGAAAUAAACGGGGAACACCAGGAGACAAAUUAACACAAUGGAGACAGGAACAGGAAGGACCAAAUAUGGACAUGGAAACACAUUGGGAGCAAAACACACAAAACAUGGAACAGAGUCUGACACCGUGCUGAAGAGGCAGAAGAGAAGAACAGGAAACUCAAAAGAGAGAAAAUGAAUCAGCACUACUGCAAUAACGAGCAACUGCAAUAGGAUGUGGAGUUCUUCAGAAAAGAAACAGAGCAGAGAGAGCCUCUUCAGCAAUGAGAUUCACCAAAGCCAACCAACAGCUCUACCAGAGCAUGGAGGACCUGCAGAUUGUGAACGAGAUGAAGAAGAUGAUGGAUGAAUACAACAAGAUGAAGAUCGCAGUCCAGCAGACGGACACCAUCAUGGAGCAGCUGAAAAAAAAGAGGUCAUGCCAAGCUUCAGGUCAGAGAGCUAAAUGA
rnacentral:lncRNA from 12 species